AUUCCAGCUCCAAUAGCGUAUAUUUAAGUUGUUGCAGUUGAAAAGCUCGUAGUUGGAUUUUGGUUAAGAGGGCGCGGUCGGCCGUUUGGUCUGUACUGCGUUGUCUUGACUUCCUGAUGAGGACAUGCUCUUGGUUAACGCUGAGACAUGGAGUCAUCGUGGUUACUUUGAAAAAAUUAGAGUGCUCAAAGCAGGCUUUUACGCCUGAAUAUUCGUGCAUGGAAUAAUAGAAUAGGAAGUCGUUUCUAUUUUGUUGGUUUUCGGAAAUCGACUUAAUGAUUAAUAGGGACAGUCGGGGGCAUUUGUAUUCAGACGACAGAGGUGAAAUUCUUGGACCGUUUGAAGACAAACUACUGCGAAAGCAUUUGCCAAGAAUGUUUUCAUCA
rnacentral:rRNA from 1 species